rnacentral:lncRNA from 1 species
CUGAGAGGUUGGGACUGGGAGCACCGAGAAAGCAGAGUAAUCCAUAUGCAAAGACUACCUGUGAUCCAGCUUCCAGCCCUCUUAGACAUGGAGAGGAAAGUCCCAUCGAGAGAGAGCCCCAGAAGACUCUCUGCCAAGCCAGGCCGAGGCACGGAGAUGAAAAAACUAGCCCGACCACUUGGUGUGGUGGCUGCUGACUCAGACAAGGACUCCGGCUUUUCAGAUGGGAGCUCAGAAUGUCUGAGCUCUGCCGAGCAGAUGGAGUCAGAGGACGUGGUGAGCGCCCUGGGCUGGAGCAGAGAGGACAAGCUGAGGCAGAACGCCAGAGCGGCAAACCACGCCUUCCCCACACUGUCCCCUAUGGUUGUCAUGAAGAACGUGCUGGUCAAGCAGG